rnacentral:rRNA from 1 species
GAUGAACGCUGGCGGCGUGCCUAAUACAUGCAAGUCGAGCGAACGGACGAGAAGCUUGCUUCUCUGAUGUUAGCGGCGGACGGGUGAGUAACACGUGGAUAACCUACCUAUAAGACUGGGAUAACUUCGGGAAACCGGAGCUAAUACCGGAUAAUAUUUUGAACCGCAUGGUUCAAAAGUGAAAGACGGUCUUGCUGUCACUUAUAGAUGGAUCCGCGCUGCAUUAGCUAGUUGGUAAGGUAACGGCUUACCAAGGCAACGAUGCAUAGCCGACCUGAGAGGGUGAUCGGCCACACUGGAACUGUGACACGGUCCAGACUCCUACGGGAGGCAGCAGUAGGGAAUCUUCCGCAAUGGGCGAAAGCCUGACGGAGCAACGCCGCGUGAGUGAUGAAGGUCUUCGGAUCGUAAAACUCUGUUAUUAGGGAAGAACAUAUGUGUAAGUAACUGUGCACAUCUUGACGGUACCUAAUCAGAAAGCCACGGCUAACUACGUG